rnacentral:tRNA from 1 species
GCUCUCAAGGUGUAAGAGUUCUGCAUCUCUCCGUGCGAAGGAGAGGGUUCAUGGUGCAAGUCCAUGUGAGAGCACCA